rnacentral:rRNA from 1 species
AUUUGGAGGGCAAGUCUGGUGCCAGCAGCCGCGGUAAUUCCAGCUCCAAUAGCGUAUAUUAAAGUUGUUGCAGUUAAAAAGCUCGUAGUUGAAUUUCGGGAUCAGUAGGUUGGUCGUGCCACAGGUAUGAACUGGUCUCACUGAUUCCUCCUUCCUGAUGAACCGUAAUGCCAUUAAUUUGGUGUUGCGGGGAGACUGGACUGUUACUUUGAAAAAAUUAGAGUGUUUAAAGCAGGCUCACGCUUGAAUACAUUAGCAUGGAAUAAUGAAAUAGGACAUCCGAUUCUAUUUUGUUGGUUUCUAGGAUCGAUGUAAUGAUUAAUAGGGAUAGUUGGGGGCAUUAGUAUUCAAUUGUCAGAGGUGAAAUUCUUGGAUUUAUUGAAGACUAACUACUGCGAAAGCAUUUGCCAAGGAUGUUUUCAUUAAUCAAGAACGAAAGUUAGGGGAUCGAAGACGAUCAGAUACCGUCGUAGUCUUAACCAUAAACUAUGCCGACUAGGGAUCGGAUGAUGUUAAUUUUUUAAUGACUCAUUCGGCGCCUUACGGGAAACAAU